rnacentral:rRNA from 1 species
AUUGAACGCUGGCGGAAUGCUUUACACAUGCAAGUCGAACGGCAGCACGGACUUCGGUCUGGUGGCGAGUGGCGAACGGGUGAGUAAUGCAUCGGAACAUGCCUAGUCGUGGGGGAUAACGUAGCGAAAGUUACGCUAAUACCGCAUACGUCCUGAGGGAGAAAGCGGGGGACCGAAAGGCCUCGUGCGAUUAGAGUGGCCGAUGUCCGAUUAGCUAGUUGGUGGGGUAAAGGCCUACCAAGGCGACGAUCUGUAGCGGGUCUGAGAGGAUGGACCGGCACACUAGGACUGAGACACAGGCCAGACUCCUACGGGAGGCAGCAGGGGGGAAUUUUGCGCAAUGCGGGAAACCCGGAAGCAGCAACGCCGCGUGAGUGAUGAAGGCCCUUGGGUCGUAAAGCUCUGACAGAGGGAAAGAAAUGCAGGGGAGCUAAUAUCUCCUUUGCUUGACGGUACCCUCAAAGGAAGCACCGGCUAACUCCGUGCCAGCCGCCGCGGUAACAC